rnacentral:lncRNA from 10 species
AAGUAAGACCAGGCUAUGGGCCCCUGAGGAGAGGGGCCCCUGCUGUUUCCUGAAAUAAAUUAUGCUAGGGCCCCUGGCCUUCAUUAUUAAAAGGACAACUCCCCAUCCACUCCCACUCAUCUCCCUCCCGCCUUUUUGUAAGAGCAGCGGGCAUGGGUCAAUGAGUCCCCUACAGCUGCAGGGCCUUUGCAGGCAGCGGUGCUAGGCCCAGCCUGCUGAGUUCCUUGGAAAUUGAACAAGCAUCUGUGGAGUGCUCACUCUGUGUCAGGUUCUGCUGCUUUUUCUUUGAGAGACUUGCCACGUUGCCCAAGCUAGUCUCAAACUCCUGGGCUCAAGCAGUCUCCUGGCCUCGGCCUUCCAAGUAGCUAGGAUUAUAGAACAGUGUCAAUGUAUUAAAUCUUGCUUUGAAGCCUAACAUACAAUCUUUCCUGGAGAACAUUCCACGUGUACUUUUGAAGAAUGUGUAUUCUGCUGUUGGGUGAAGUUGUCUGUGUGGUAGGUCCAACUGGUCUAUAGUAUUGUUCAAGUACUUUGUUUCCUUCUUGAUCUUCUGUCUGGGUGUUGUAUCCAUUAUUGAAAGUGAGGUAUUGGGCCGGGUGCAGUGGCUCAGGCCUGUAACCCCAGCACUUUAGGAGGCCAAGAUGGGUGGAUCACCUGAGGUCAGGAGUUCAAGAGCAGCCUGGACAACAUGGUGAAACCCUGUCUCUACUGAAAAUAGCUGGUCGUGGUGGCAUACGCCUGUAAUCCCAGCUACUCUGAGGCCUAAGAAUCACUUGAACCCAGGAGGUGGAGGUUGCAGUGAGCCGUUAUCAUGCCACUGCACUCCAGCCUGGGCAACAGAGUGAGAUUCCAUCUCAAAAAAAUAAAAAAAGUGAGGUGAAGUCUCCUACCAUUAUCGUAGACCUAUCUGUUUCUCCUUUCAUUCUACAGUGUUUGCUUAAUAUAUUUAGGAGCUCUGAGGUGUGUUGCAUGUACAUUUAUAACUGUUACAUCUUUUUGGUGAAUUGACUGUUAUCAUUAUCUCUUAUAACAGCUUUUGACCUUAGGUCGAUUUUGUCUGAUAUUAGUAUAGCUACUCCUUCUCUAUCUUAUUUCAUCCUUUCACUUUCAACCUGUGUAAGUCUCUCAGUCUUCUGAUGGUGGAAUUCAUUUGUAUUUUUAAAGAUUAUCAUUCUGAUGCAACUGACUAACCUGGUGACUGUGUCAUGAGGCCCACAGCCAAGGACUGCGGUGACCAGUUGCUGUGGGGAGACUCCAGCACAUUACUGACGGGACUUCCCGAUGGGGAAGGACUUCCUGGUGCCACGCUGUUGAUUGUUUUCUGCAUGGCUUAUGGUUUGCUUUCUCUGUCAUUUCGUCCCUUUGUGUUUAAUUGAUGUUUUUAUUGUGACACACUUAGGAUCUCAUUUGCUUUUGUGUACGUUCUGUAGAUAUGUUGUCAUUACCAUGGGGAUUACACGAAACAUCCUGAAGUUAGAGCAAUCCAUUUUAAACUGGUAAGUUCAAUCACAUACAAAUACCCCACUCUUUGACAGCUCUGUCCCCCUCCUAUGUUGUUGAUAUCACAAAGUAUAUCUAUUUUUAGAGACAGGGUCUCACUCUGUCACCCAGGCUGGAGUGCAGUGGCAUUAUCACAGCUCAAUGUAACCUCAAGCCCCUGGACUCAAGUGAUCCUUCGGAGUAGCUGAGACUACAAGUGCAUGCCACCACCAUGCCUACUUUUUUUCACAAAUUAUAUGUUUAACGUAGAUGUAUAGUUAUACAUCUUUUAAAUCCAAUAAAAUAAUUACAGAGAUGAAUGAAAAUUACAAUACAGGUCUUUAUAUGUGGCCUCAAACUUCCACCUAGCAUCUUUUUUUUUUUUUGACUUGAAGGACUCCCUUUAGCAUUUCUUGCAUAAUGAACUCUCUCAGCUUUUGUUUAUCUGAGAAUGUCUUAAUUUCUCUGGCCGGACACAAGGCGGGCAGAUCACGAAGUCAGGAGUUCGAGACCAGCCUGGCUAACAUGGUGAAACCUCGUCUCUACUAAAAAUACAAAAAUUCGCCGGGGGUGGUGGCGCAUGCCUGUAAUCCCAGCUACUCGGGAGGCUGCACCACUGCACUCCAGCCUGAAGGACAGAGCAGAGACCCUGUCUCAAAAAAAAAUAAGAAUAAUAAGUGUCUUAAUUUCCUAUGAGAAUUCAUAAUAUGCCUUUAUUUUGUAACUUAUAACCACCUUUUAAUUUGUCCUUCAAAAGUUAAUUAUAACGGGUGACUGCUUUUCUUAGAUACUUGUCUGGUGU